rnacentral:rRNA from 1 species
UACGGGGGGGGCAAGCGUUGUUCGGAAUUACUGGGCGUAAAGGGCGCGUAGGCGGUCCGCUAAGUUGGAUGUGAAAACUCUGGGCUUAACCCAGAGCCUGCAUCCAAAACUGGCAGGCUUGAGUUUUGGAGGGGGAAGCGGAAUUCCUGGUGUAGCAGUGAAAUGCGUAGAUAUCAGGAGGAACACCGGUGGCGAAGGCGGCUUCCUGGACAAAAACUGACGCUGAGGCGCGAAAGCUAGGGGAGCAAACAGG